rnacentral:rRNA from 1 species
AAAUGCGGAAGAGAUAAGUGCUGAAAGCAUCUAAGCACGAAACUUGCCCCGAGAUGAGUUCUCCCUGAGACUUUAGGUCUCCUGAAGGAACGUUGAAGACGACGACGUUGAUAGGCCGGGUGUGUAAGCGCAGCGAUGCGUUGAGCUAACCGGUACUAAUGAACCGUGAGGCUUAACCUUACAACGCCGAAGCUGUU